rnacentral:lncRNA from 1 species
AAGAGAUAAAUCAAAGUUGAAAGAUCAAACAGAUUCAGUUCUCCUUUGGUCUUCAUUUUUAGCCUAGGUCUAUACAUUCAAAAAUUAAACUAAAUUAAUUCAAUCUUUCUCUUGUUUAAAAAUACAGGUAUCCCUUCCACAUGAUGACUUUCUCCAUCAAAGUUUCCAUAUAUUGCGAGAAGAAAAUGGCAAACCACUCCAGGAUCUCUGCCAAGAAAACCCUAAAAUGAGAUCACAAAGAAUUGGACACAACUGAAAAACAACAACCAGUGAAAUAUCCAACUCAGACCUCUUCUAACAUCAAGAUGAA